CUCAUUGCAGCUCAGACACAGCAAAAGAGCCUAGAACCUGGGUCCUAGUUUGCACCUAGAAUAUGAGGUACUUUGAGCCUUGCUAAGACCACCCAGCCCAUCUCCAUGGACUCAUAUGAAGGACAAGAAGUGAACAUAACCUGUAGCCACAACAACAUUGCUACAAAUGAUUAUAUCACGUGGUACCAACAGUUUCCCAGCCAAGGACCACGAUUUAUUAUUCAAGGAUACAAGACAAAAGUUACAAACGAAGUGGCCUCCCUGUUUAUCCCUGCCGACAGAAAGUCCAGCACUCUGAGCCUGCCCCGGGUUUCCCUGAGCGACACUGCUGUGUACUACUGCCUCGUGGGUGACACACAGUGAGACAGAUGGGCCUGCACCUGUGCCGUUUUCCUCUGUGGGGUGGGAGUCACAGCCUAGAAAGAAGUCCAAAAGUGCUUUCUAAAAUUUUUAUUUUCAAAAGGUAUUAGCAAAUUUAUGUAUUCUUCUACUAUUUG
rnacentral:lncRNA from 1 species